rnacentral:rRNA from 1 species
CGGGUGAGUAACACGUUGAUAACCUACCUAUAAGACUGGGAUAACUUCGGGAAACCGGAGCUAAUACCGGAUAAUAUUUUGAACCGCAUGGUUCAAAAGUGAAAGACGGUCUUGCUGUCACUUAUAGAUGGAUCCGCGCUGCAUUAGCUAGUUGGUAAGGUAACGGCUUACCAAGGCAACGAUGCAUAGCCGACCUGAGAGGGUGAUCGGCCACACUGGAACUGAGACACGGUCCAGACUCCUACGGGAGGCAGCAGCG